AAAUGAAUUGACGGGGACCCGCACAAGCGGUGGAGCAUGUGGUUUAAUUCGAAGCAACGCGAAGAACCUUACCUGGUCUUGACAUCCCACUGACCGUUCUUUAACCGGAACUUUCCUUCGGGACAGUGGUGACAGGUGGUGCAUGGUUGUCGUCAGCUCGUGUCGUGAGAUGUUGGGUUAAGUCCCGCAACGAGCGCAACCCUUAUCUUUAGUAGCCAGCAGUUCGGCUGGGCACUCUAGAGAGACUGCCAGGGAUAACCUGGAGGAAGGUGGGGAUGACGUCAAAUCAUCAUGCCCCUUAUGACCAGGGCUACACACGUGCUACAAUGGCGUAAACAAAGAGAAGCAAAACCGUGAGGUCGAGCAAAUCUCAAAAAUAACGUCUCAGUUCGGAUUGUAGUCUGCAACUCGACUACAUGAAGCUGGAAUCGCUAGUAAUCGCAGAUCAGAAUGCUGCGGUGAAUACGUUCCCGGGUCUUGUACACACCGCCCGU
rnacentral:rRNA from 1 species